CAGGUGAUUUGCCUAAUUAGUGAUUUGGAUAGGCGACCACUCACCCCUCUCUCACUCCACUCUCCCCAAUUCCCCACUCGAGCUCAGUAUCUCUCUCUCCCCAACAUUGGAACCCUAAGUCCCAAUCUCCCUCUCCGAUCCAGCGAGCGCCGGGCAGGCAAUGGAGACGGGGACAAGAACAGAGGCCAUAGAGACUCAAUUGGAGCACAUGCAUUUGGAGAAGGAGGCUCAUUCUUUGGGUGGUGAUGACCGUAGCAAGGUAUGAUCCCUCUCAUGAAGUGCAAAUCCAUGAAGCUUCAUGCAAUAGACUCAUUUGGAGCACAUGGGACAGGAAAAGGCGGGAUGUCUAUUCGUAGCACGUGCAACUAGCCCUCUAUCAUCGCACAUGUUCGCUGGAGAUAACAAUGUUCCAAAAUAUUUUUAUCUUGUUUUGGAACAUUUUAUUUGGUUCUAAUAUAUUGGUAUCUCCAGCGGACAUGUGCGAUGAUACAACGGCUAGUCGCACGUGCGAUGAAUAGACGCCCCCGGAAAAGGAGCCUUUGGAGCUUGAGGAGGUUUAUACUCUGCAUGGUGGUCACAAGGAUUCACAGUGGCGCAUGCUCACGGUUAGUAUAUAUUGGUAUCUCCAGCGGACAUGUGCGAUGAUACAACGGCUAGUCGCACGUGCGAUGAAUAGACGCCCCCGGAAAAGGAGCCUUUGGAGCUUGAGGAGGUUUAUACUCUGCAUGGUGGUCACAAGGUAUGGUCCCUCUCAUGGAGUCCAUGUCCAUGUAAUGGAGCAUAGUACAUGCUGGCCUCAGGUGGUGACAACAGCAAGACAAUUAUUUGGCACUACCAGGAUUCACAGUGGCGCAUGCUCACGGAAUUGUCCAAUGGAGGAAAAGGACCUAUCAAAUCAUGUGCUUGGAGCUUGGACAGGAAACAACUUGGAGCAGGAGGUUUAAACUCAAACAUUGCUAUAUGGGAAUACAACAAGGAAGCUGAGGAUUAAUUUAAACUCAUUGCACAAGUACAUGGUCCACAUGAGCAAAUUGUAAAGAGUCUUUCAUGGAACAGCAAACAGUUGCUUCUGUCUUGCUCCAACGAUGGAAAUAUAUGCAUUAUUGGCAAAAAACAAUGGCACAUAUGUUGUCAAGUGCAGAGUAUGUGAAUGUGGAAGUAGUGAGACCUCCUCUGCCAUAUGGAAUCCCAAUGAUGAGACCUUUGCUGUUGCCGGAUAUAGACUAAUUCAGAUAUACCGCGUACAAAUCUAGGUGACCAAGAUGUGAAAGCCUAUCGCAUUCACACAAUUAGUGGAGACAGGUAUAAUACUUACUCCAUUGUCUAGUUUUGGUCAUAAAAGUGGUAUCAAUGGUAUUAGCUAUUGGAAUAAUGGAGAUUUAUGGCAUCGGCAGGGCAAACGCUAACUAGGUUCUUUGGUUAAAUGCUUAAAUGGUUGGAUGGAAUAUGUUAUGACUAUAAAAGAAAGCUCUUCUAAUUUUGCAGUGCUGAUUCCUUCAUGAAAUUUUGGAGAACUGAACCAAGAAGGGAUAGGGAUGAUUCAAGUAGUAGCACAACUAUCUCCAUACCAAGUGGAAAGGAACUUUCUAGUACACUUGUGGGUCAGUAUCGGAUAUCAGAAGAUGCACGAGGAGGAUUUUCAUGUUGUGACUGGUCCAGAUGCCACAAUCAGUCCAUUGGGUACUUAAUUGCAAGUUCAUAUCUUUUCGAUGACAUACAUAUCUUUAUGCAAUACCGAGUCACAAAAGUAAGUCCCUUCUGCUAAAAUUGAUUCCUUGGGGGUGUUUCUUCAAAAUUGAUUCCUAUUAAUGCCCUCAAGUGGCAUCCUAAGGUACGGUUCAUUUCGUAUUUCAUUCAAGGAUGCGGGAUUAUUGUUGUUUUCAUUCACAUUUUGUGUUUCAUUCAGGAUGCGGGAUUAUUGGCGUCAGCAGGUUCAAAAGGCAUCAAAAUUUGGAAAGUUGAAGGUGAAGUAGUGUACUUACUCGACCCAAGCGCCACUGCAGUUAAGAGAGGACCACCAGUUAAGAGAGGAAAGAAGUCCACAAUUGGAAAGGAUGCUACAAAAAGGAUGGAACCAUGUGGAUUUGCAUAGAAUGUAUCAAAUUUCCUAAGACCAGUUAUCCUAGAUGACGUGCGUGUGCAUGAACAUGUGGCGAGGGCGGUAAUUUAAAUCAUUCUCGUCAUUUCUCCGGCCAUGAAAAUCCCAGCACCGGGUUCAUCCCUCGCCGAGAGGACCAUGAAAAUACAAUCAUUUUCCAAUAAUUUACUAAUGGGAAUGUUCA